rnacentral:tRNA from 1 species
GCGCGCUUAGCUCAGCGGUAGAGCGUUCGCUUCACACGCGAAAGGUCGCAGGUUCAAUCCCUGCAGUGCGCA